GCCGGGAUAUGUUGCGGUGUCCCCUCGUUCUGCUUACGGAAGGCUGAUGGGGUGUCGACUGUUUAAUGAGAUGCUAAUCUGUAGCGGCGCCCUACUCAAACCAUGUGUUCGAUAUCCGGGCUAGACGUAGGUUGAGCCAUGGUAUCGACUGGGGUGGAGGGUACCGGCCGAGGGCGGUUAACGCAGCAGGCAAAACCUCCCGCAUGUGGUGGUGAUGGGAUUGUGCUGCUUGAUGGAUUCGGUCUGUGGUUGCGGACCUUUGGCGUCGAGUGUGCGGUUGUCACCUCAUUUU
rnacentral:SRP_RNA from 1 species